GAAAGGAGCCGAUCUCAUUACUGAGGCCCGGACACAUUAUUUUCUCCAAGGAAUUUCUUCUUUUCAUUAUUUCCCUCCAAAGACAGCAGCCCAGCCAUCCUUGCUAAGUUCCUGAGAUUCCCUCCAGGGUCUGGGCUUUUCUCCAGCACGUGGCUCCCUGCUACCAUCCGAGAAGUCCCUGAUGCUGAGGUCUCUGCUGACUUGCCCCGAAGGAUUGCCGACACACGGACAUUUAUGUCUUCCCCACAGGGAAAAACACCCCAUUAGAAGACAGAAGUUUGGUUCCCCCAUAGGAUCUCCAGGGAGCUGCAGUGACACCAGAGGAGGGCUACUGGAAAUGGCACCAGGACAUCGUAUUUGUUUUCCAGAUCCCAACAUGGAAGAUUUGGAAAGGGAAAAGCAUUAUAUGCUCAUGGAUGCUAGUAGAGUUUGUAGUGUUUCCAGGCCUCGGCUUGGACACAGAGGUGGCUUCCUUCCUUCCCUGGGGGAGGCUUCAUUCCUGACUCCUGACCUACCUCUUCUCUAGAGCAGGUCCCACAUCCUUCCUUUCUGAGUGAUCCUGACUGGCAAGAAGGGACAGCAGUGAGGAGCCUCUCAGAACCAAGACCAUGGCUCCUGCUUCUCAGCCUGGCCAGCCCACCUGCAGGAAACCUGAUUGUACCCUCAUGGGGCCAUCCUUUCUCUGUCCCCAAAGUACCCAAUACACCUGGGCCUUCUUCAGGAUCCCACUCUUUCCCUCCUCCCUCCUCCCCUCUUUUCUUUCUUCCUCCAUCUCUGCCUUUCUCCUUUCUGCCACACACUACCUGAUCCAUCAGAUGUCAUUGUUUGCUGUUUAGACCGCAGUAGCCACUGAGAGCAGACUCUGCAGGUUGGAGCUUGACCUCCAUCUCUGCCAUACACGGCUUUGGGAAGUUCCUCCAGCGCUCCAGGCUUUCAUUUCAUUGCCUUGAAUGAAGGUUCUUCUGGGGAUGAAAUAAAGUAGUCAUUGGUCGUUGCUCUGUCACGACUGAUAGAUGAGUAAAUCCCAGAGACUUCAGAAACGGAAGCAGAGGAAACGGCCACCCUGCUGAGCCCUGGAGCUGCUGGCAGGCAGAGCCCUCUCUCUAAGUCACUACCAGACAGGCUGGCAAGAAAAUCUGGAAGAAUACAGAUUUGAUGACAGGGAUGUCCUCGGAGGGAUGUCUCCAAGUCCAACCUCUGCCCUUGGACCUCUCAGGUGCAAAGAAAGCGCAGGUUCUCAGAGCUUCCCCUGUGGUACCCAGCCCUCUGUGAGCUCCACCAUCAGCUGGAUCCAGAAGGGCUGGAUCCCUCUUCAUAGGGAGCCUUCAUUGCUCUCACUAAGGGCCCAGAAUACGCAAGCUUUGGUGCUGAGAGCCCCCUAAGCUCCCCGCAAACGCCGUGAUUGCUAAAAAUUUGCUUCGUUCUGAUUUUGCCUCUCGCUGGCUGAAGGACUGGAUUUUAUACCAGGUCAAUUUCAGACCAUUUGAUAUUGAUAUAUGAAGAUCCCAGGGGAUUACUGAAUGCAUUUCUCAUCCUGCCUAGAUAGUAUCAUAGAAGGAAAAUGGGAUUGACUGUUAAGGACAAAUUGAGAAAGACAUGGCCAUUUAAGAUAACUCCUUAUCUGUAUACAAGCAAAUGGUAUCUGGGAAAUAGACCACCAGUUGACAGCAAGAAAUUCUACUCCGGGCUCUUCACCCACUCUCCCUUCUGCCGUUAACACUCAGGGAUUAUCCCGUUAUCCUGAGAGCUGUAUCCUGGGGGCCCCUGCUGGAGGACACUAGAGAAGAGGGCUUUUUGAGACUUUAUUCUGAAAGGGUUGGGUGGAAGGGAUUGUCCAUGGGUACUCUGAGGAGUUUGGGAUGGAAUGGCUACGAAUGUGACAGAUCUCCCUGGUACUCGGAGAACGGUUCUCUCAGGUGAUCGUGCGGCUUGACAGAUGGAGGAUUGAACUUACCACAUGGCGAGUGGUCUUCGGGGUAGUCUUUUCACUCUCCUCUGUCAAGGGUACCACUGAAGGCUCACGCCUAUGCUAACACUUUCCUGAGUCGUGAGGUUGUGGAAACUUUCUGGAACUCCAAGCUGUCCCCUUGCUGGUUUGAGAAACAGCUAUGCAGCUUGAGGUCUUGCUUCCUUGGUGUUGGGGGACAGAUCCCACUGAUCUGUUGAUUGGUCCCAUUGGUGGGCAUGUGUGCUGUGGGUUCUUGAAGGGGUCAAGAGUUGGUGUGGGGGUCUACCACAGUCCUCCAUGAUCAGGUGCGUGUUCCCAUCUCCAUCCUUUAUCCACCCCCUCCCAGCACGGUGGAUUUCACAGGGAAAGGGGAUUCUGGAGACCAAGAGGAGCCAGGAGACCUGGGGUCUUCAAAGUCAAAGCUCUGGAAGUUUCUGGUGUCAGACCCAUUAUCCCCCAGGUCACGGUCAUAGUUUAUCUUCCCUGUUGCUAUGAUAAAAAUACCCUGAUGCAAAGC
ensembl:lincRNA C130026L21Rik uncharacterized LOC110293829